rnacentral:rRNA from 1 species
UACGUAGGGGGCAAGCGUUGUCCGGAUUUAUUGGGCGUAAAGAGCGUGUAGGCGGCCAGGUAGGUCUGGUGUGAAAACUCGAGGCUUAACCUCGAGAUGUCAUCGGAAACCAUCUGGCUAGAGUCCGGAAGAGGAGAGUGGAAUUCCUGGUGUAGCGGUGAAAUGCGCAGAUAUCAGGAAGAACACCCGUGGCGAAGGCGGCUCUCUGGGACGGUACUGACGCUGAGACGCGAAAGCGUGGGGAGCGAACAGG